UAAACUCGUCAUUGUUUCUUAUUCAAAAAAAAAGAAAACGAGAAACCGAAAACAUAAAACAAAAAAGAAAAAAAGAAAACCACGUUAACAAACUGGUUCUUAGAUUUCUCUCUUCUUGGAUCUCUCCUUAUUUUCUCUUCAAUUCUAACUUGGAGGUCUCGUGUUUUUCAGUGUAAUAUCGCAAAUCCGACUACUGGUUGUCAGAAGAAGCUGGAAAUUGAUGAUGACAAGAAACUGAAUUUAAGGGAUAUAUUUUCAAGAUUAUGGGAGAUUGUGACAAGCAAGGAUUCCCAAUGAAACAGGGUGUCUUGACCCCUGGCCGUGUCCGCCUCUUGCUUCCUAGAGAAUGCACAGUUCUUUGAGCCCAAUUCUGCUCUGUGUAAAGUCUGCACCAAAGAUGCUUCUUAUAUUGUAAGACAGCAAACCGAAUUCGCAACUUCCUUUUGAUCACUUUGAUUCAAAUCGCUGGCUACCAGUAAGUGUUAGAACUAGAAGAGAUAUAGCAACUAACUAUCUCCCAUUGUCCAUCUCCCAAUGUGCACAUCUAUAGGCUCUUAAGAGGGCUGGGAUUUUUGGCAUUCCGGGAGUUACAUAUUCACUAACUCAGGUUUUAUAGAUGGGAGCUACACCUGAUGAAAUUGGUGCACCGCCCACUCUACAUGUUAAUUGACAAGUUUAAAGGUUAAGUGAGCAUAUCUUCCUUGUAGAUAUUUUGGGACAGCAACUCUACAAUCCUUCCUAAUAGACAACAACUCCCUCGUUUGUUAGAUUUUGAAAGCUUUGUGUAUAAAUUGAUCGAUGUAAUUUGGUAAUAGGUUACUUAAUUAAACGAUUUUGUCAAGCUUUGUGUAUAAAUCGAUCGAUGUAAUUUGGUAAUAGGUUACUUAAUUAAACGAUUUUGUCAAGCUUUGUGUAUAAAUUGAUCGAUGUAAUUUGGUAAUAGGUUACUUAAUUAAACGAUUUUGUCACUUUCUUUGUUGUAAAUGAAAUAAAUUGUGUUUGUUGAGAA